ensembl:lncRNA
AGAACAUAUUAUGACAACAAGCAGAAAGGAGGAAGUUUCAUUUUCCACAACAGAAAGGAAUAUACUCUGUAAAGGCUAAAUAUUCCAAAGGACAGGAUGAAAUCUCAGAAGUGGACACGUCUUUAAGCACUCUUUUUGGUGCCUGUGUAGUCUGCCUUCUGGAAGUUAGGAAAGAAGACAUGAACAUGAGACUGUGGAGUGCUUGGCUGCUGGACAGGGCCAAUACACCAUGCUUAUCCAAAUGCUUACCAAGUUUAUUCCAAGUUAGGAUCCUACCAGUCAUCUAAUGAAGAGCUUCUGUCUGUUAUACAUCAUGUAGGUGGUACUAGGAAGUUUUAGGUUAAAUAUCACACAAUGCUUACGCUUACAUACAUUUCAUCUCAAUACAGCUUUAAGUGCAGAAUGGCCGUCAAAGCUUGUCAUAACAAUUCAAAUUGAGAAGAAGGGGUUAAAAUACAAAUAAACUUGUCAUACUAGACUAAAAAUGAAAAUAAUUUAAGAUAGCAAAGAAAUAAAAACUGCAUUCAGUAUUGCCAUCAAAUCAUCAAAACUGUCUGAAGAGAUAAACAGCAUCAGGCUAGUUACUUAAGGAGGAAAAGAACAAAGCAACUGGAGAAGAAUAGAAAAAGGCAUAGCCUGAAGGUAAUUGCUGCUUAUCAAUAGCAGCUAUAAUAAUAAUUUCUUUAAUGCUCUGUAUGCUCGAUUAUUCAGUGCAGGAAAUGUCACCUCCUAAGAAAGAUGCGUAUUCAGACCGUAAAAGUAAAUAUUUGAUGUUGCAACUGACUUUGGUGAGGCUAUUGAUGUGGUAACAGAUCAAUAGUUUGCAUAAGGACUGUACUACAAGCUCACAUGACUGCAUAUAAAAGCAAAAAGAAACCCUGCUCAUUGCCAUAAGAUCUAAGUAUAGGAAUGUGUACUGAUUAUGAGUAGGAAAGAAGACUAAACUCAUACAUUUUACAAAUAGUGCCCUAGAUCAUGAUGGUGAUAAUGACUACCAUUGAAAAAUACGCAACACAUUUGUACAACAGGAGAAAAAAAUCCAUAUUGCUGUUACUUAUGCUGUACCUGUCAUGUGGAUAAAUACAGUAAAGAACUUAUGUUUUGCAAAGCUGUCAGUCUAGCAAAUUUCAUGAGUGCUAAGUUUCAAAGGAAAAAAUAGCAUGUUAUUACUUCACUUAUCUCCUCCCUGUGGUAUAAAUUGUCGAAGAGUUACCUGGGGUUUCAGCUGCCCAGUUUCUAUUGACUUUAAUGACAAAAGCAUGGCUAAAGUGCUUUGAAUCUCUGUAAAAAUGUACCCCAUAUGUUGUCCUAAUCAUAUCUCCUUAGUUUCCUGACAAAAACAAUUUGUUAUUAUUGUCAGUUCAACACAGCCAUUAUAACUGCUAAAGAGCAAACUGUAUUGCACUCUGCCUCGCAUAUUAUCAACAAAAUUGUCAGCCAGCUUUUGAUUCCAGAAUUUUUACUGCAAGUGAUGAUUAGUGUUGUGCACAGCUAAAUAACCAGGCAGUUUAGUUUGUUCUGGAUGAAGCUUAGAAAGUUCAAAUGGUUCUCUGAACCUUCUCCAAAUCUCAAGGCUCUUCAAAACUUAGCUGGCAUUCUUGUGAGCACUCUGUGCCCGGGCAUCUCACAAGUUCACUAGUACUCUGUGUCUCAGAUCCGGUGGAAAACACUUUGAGAGUAACUUUUAUUAUAGCGUCAGUGUUGUCUGCAGCAAAGAUAUGAGGGAGUUCACAAGCUCAAAUUUUAUAUCAAAGCAUGCGUAUGUAAUAUCUAUAAAUGGAUAAUAAGAAUUGUGUCUGACCUGGAAUAGAAUCCUUGUCCUUAGCAAAGCUAUAGAGAAAGUCCUUAGAAGCAGCAGGGACGUACUCAGUUGAGUAGUCCCAUGAGAAGCAUGGGUGUGAUGAUGGGCAGUCAGUAAAGUACUUUGGAAAGUUCUCCCUAUAGAAUUAAGUAGAAAUUCUGUCUGAUGAAUAAAGUGUUAUAAAGGAGAUACAGUCCUCAUGAAGUCUCCUUAGCUUUAUAUCAUGGUCUUUUCCCUAUAUCUCAUACUCUUGAUUCAGAAAGAUGGUUUUCCUGAUAUUCUGGAGCUAGAACAUUAGAUGAAUUUCCUCCACCACAGAUAGCGCUCUAUAGAAAUAACAAUAUGAUGGGAGCUUUUUUGCCAAUAUCUCACAAGUUAUUAAAAAAGUCUCAAAAACUCCCUCAAAGUGAGGGAUUUAUUUGUAUGUAUAAAAUCUCAAAGCAUUUACAUGUUUAAACUACAUAAACGCACAGUGAAAUAAACAAGUAUUAACUGAAUUUUGGCAAUGGAUCUUUCAAUACAGAUAAAAAGUUGAUUUUGAAAUUUGUACUUCUUGCUCUUUUAUAAUGUUACUGUACAGUAUGGCAGAGAUACCUGAAACAGUAAAGCUGCAUAAAAUAUCAAUCUUAAAGAUCAGGCUGCACUUUAAACCUGUCUGUCAGGAAUUUUGUCUAAUAAGGAAGUAUAGAGCUAGCAAGACAGUCACAAUAUCUAAAAUAAAUUAGAACUGUUACCUC